GCAGCGGAAGGCAGGUGAGCAGACUUCAGCAGGCUUUGGAAAGAAGGUUUCAGCCACAUGUUCCGGGUGUCUUCCUGCAAGGUGUUCACCUCAGUGCUGCAGGGAGCUGAGUUUGUUGGUAGUUCCUACACAGCUUGAUUUUCUUAACACUAACAGCAGUCUUCUGCCCUUCCAACAGUUUGUUUGUUUGUUUGUUUGUUUGUUUGUUUGUUUUAUAUAAAAUGCUGGGAUUACAAGUGUGAGCCACUGUGCCUAAUCUAUAAAUUGCUUUCUGAUAUAAGCUACUUUCUUUUUAAAAGUGUUUUUAGAAAAAAUAAAAAGCAUGUAAGAACACAGCUUUAAGACCAUUUUAAAAGAGAAUUUAAUCCAAUGGUUGUGAGCUGAAGUUGGUAAAGCCCACAUAAUGCUGGGUCAUGCACAUACCGAGAUACUCAACAAGGCUUUGAUGAAUAGGUGAAUCAAUGAAUGAAUGAAAUGCCUGAGGCCAUCCUGAUUCCCUCAAUG
rnacentral:lncRNA from 1 species